AUGCUAUGUAGUUAACAUGUUGUUCAAUAUGCUAUGUAGGUAACAUGUUGUUCAAUAUGUUGUCCAAUAUGCUAUGUAGUUAACAUGUUGUUCAACAUGUUGUCCAAUAUGCUAUGUAGGUAGCAUGUUGUUCAGUAUGUCUGGAUAGGUUCUGGUCUGGAUAGGUUCUGGUCUGGAGAAGCUCUGGUCUGGAGAGGUUCUGGUCUGGAUAGGUUCUGGUCUGGAUAUGUUCUGGUCUGGAUAGGUUCUGGUCUGGAGAGGUUCUGGUCUGGAUAGGUUCUGGUCUGGAUAGGUUCUGGUCUGGUCUGGAUAGGUUCUGGUCUGGAUAGGUUCUGGUCUGGAGAGGUUCUGGUCUGGAUAGGUUCUGGUCUGGAUAGGUUCUGGUCUGGAUAGAUUCUUGUCUGGGUAGGUUCUGGUCUGGAUAGGUUCUGGUCUGGAUAGGUUCUGGUCUGGAGAGGCUCUGGUCUGAGUAGGUUCUGGUCUGGAUAGGUUCUGGUCUGAGUAGGUUCUGGUCUGGAUAGGCUCCGGUCUGGGUAGGUUCUGGUCUGGAUAGGCUCUGGUCUGGGUAGGCUCUGGUCUGGGUAGGUUCUGGUCUGGAUAGGUUCUGGUCUGGAUAGGUUCUGGUCUGG
rnacentral:lncRNA from 1 species